GCUUUGUAUUAUCCUAACUUCUCAGCAGGGGGCAGCACCACAACCUAGUGCAGGCAAGCUCCGAAGCUAAGCAGAGUCAAGCCUGGCUGGUAUUUGGAUGAGAGACAGAUGUAAAAUGCCAGAUCUGAAGAGUA
ensembl:rRNA 5S_rRNA 5S ribosomal RNA